UACGUAGGGGGCUAGCGUUGUCCGGAAUUAUUGGGCGUAAAGAGCUCGUAGGCGGUUUGUCGCGUCUGCUGUGAAAACCCGAGGCUCAACCUCGGGCCUGCAGUGGGUACGGGCAGACUAGAGUGCGGUAGGGGAGAUUGGAAUUCCUGGUGUAGCGGUGGAAUGCGCAGAUAUCAGGAGGAACACCAAUGGCGAAGGCAGAUCUCUGGGCCGUAACUGACGCUGAGGAGCGAAAGCAUGGGGAGCGAACAGG
rnacentral:rRNA from 1 species